AGAGUUUGAUCAUGGCUCAGAACGAACGCUGGCGGCGUUAACACAUGCAAGUCGAACGCGAAAGAAUUCUUCGGAAUUUGAGUAGAGUGGCGCACGGGUGAGUAACGCGUAAGUAAUCUACCCUGGUAUCUGGGAUAACUCACCGAAAGGUGUGCUAAUACUGGAUACGCUGGUAACAGGAAAGAUGGCCUCUUCAUGAAAGCUAUCGUACCAGGAGGAGCUUGCGUACCAUUAGCUAGUUGGUAGGGUAAAGGCCUACCAAGGCGACGAUGGUUAGCGGGUCUGAGAGGAUGAUCCGCCACACUGGAACUGAAACACGGACCAGACUCCUACGGGAGGCAGCAGUGAGGAAUAUUGCGCAAUGGGGGAAACCCUGACGCAGCGACGCCGCGUGGAUGAUGAAGGCCUUCGGGUCGUAAAAUCCUGUCAGGUGGAAAGAAGUGUAGUAUGCCUAAUACGUGUACUAUUUGACGGUACCACCAAAGGAAGCACCGGCUAACUCCGUGCCAGCAGCCGCGGUAAUACGGAGGGUGCAAGCGUUGUUCGGAAUUACUGGGCGUAAAGCGCGCGUAGGCGGUUUUAUAAGUCAGAUGUGAAAGUCCACGGCUCAACCGUGGAAGUGCAUUUGAAACUGUGAGACUUGAGUACUGGAGGGGGUGGUGGAAUUCCCGGUGUAGAGGUGAAAUUCGUAGAUAUCGGGAGGAAUACCGGUGGCGAAGGCGACCACCUGGCCAGAUACUGACGCUGAGGUGCGAAAGCGUGGGGAGCAAACAGGAUUAGAUACCCUAGUAGUCC
rnacentral:rRNA from 1 species